rnacentral:rRNA from 1 species
UACGAAGGGGGCUAGCGUUGCUCGGAAUUACUGGGCGUAAAGCGCACGCAGGCGGUUCGCCAAGUUUGGAGUGACAGUUGUCGGCUCAACCGACAAAGGACUUCAAAAACUGGUGAACUUGAGGACGAGAGAGGAACAUGGAACUCCAGGUGUAGUAGUGAAAUGCGUAGAUAUCUGGAAGAACACCAAUGGCGAAGGCAAUGUUCUGGCUCGUUUCUGACGCUCAGGUGGCGAAAGCCAGGGGAGCGAACGGG